UGAGGAAUAUUGGGCAGUGCCCGCAAGGGUGACCCAGCAACGCCGCGUGGAGGAUGAAUGUCGUAAGAUUGUAAACUCCUGUUAGAGGGGAAGAAUAGUACCGGUUGGACCGGUAUAUGACUGUACCCUCAGAGAAAGCCCCGGCUAACUACGUGCCAGCAGCCGCGGUAAUACGUAGGGGGCAAGCGUUGUCCGGAUUUACUGGGUGUAAAGGGCGCGCAGGCGGGAUAAAAAGUCAGUGGUGAAAUCCUACAGCUUAACUGUAGAACUGCCUUUGAUACUUUUACUCUUGAGUUCGGGAGAGAGAGACGGAAUUCCAGGUGUAGUGGUGAAAUACGUAGAUAUCUGGAAGAACACCAGUUGCGAAGGCGGUCUCUUGGUCCGACACUGACGCUGAGGCGCGAAAGCGUGGGGAGCAAACA
rnacentral:rRNA from 1 species